CGAGCAAGUCUUCUGGUAGAAAAAUUGUAAACAGAUAAACAAGGGAAAAAAAUAUCUUUGUUAAACCAUCAGUUUCUUCGCUCUUCUCAGAAUCUAAAAUCUACACGGUGAACAGUAAAUUACAUCUUAUAUUUUACUAUAUUCUAACUAUUUUUACUGGUCAAAUCAACUUGCUUGAAAUCCUCUUGAUUGUUUUUAUACGAUGAGUGCUAUAAAUGAUCUCUGGUAACUUUUCAAUUCUAAUUGAGUUUGUCAAUCAUCUAAAGUCUGAGAUAUAUCUUGAGUACCAGGAAUUUGA